GAUGCAGAGCAAAUCCCCAAAAAUUGUCUCAGUUCAGAUUGCAGGCUGAAACUCGCCUGCAUGAAGUCGGAAUUGCUAGUAAUCGCAGAUCAGCAUGCUGCGGUGAAUACGUUCCCGGGUCUUGUACACACCGCCCGUCACACCAUGGGAGCCGGGAAUGCCCGAAGUCGGUGACCUAACCGGAAGGGAGGAGCCGCCGAAGGCAGGUCUGGUGACUGGGGUGAAGUCGUAACAAGGUACC
rnacentral:rRNA from 1 species